rnacentral:rRNA from 1 species
UCAAAUGAAUAAGUGCAUAUAGUGGAUGCCUUGGCAAUAGGAAGCGAUGAAGGACGUUAUAGAAUGCGAAAAGCUUCGGUAAGCUUUCAAAUAAGCGUUAUAGCCGGAGAUUUCCGAAUGGGGAAACCCACCUUAAUUUAAGGUAUUGUUAUUUGAAUAUAUAGAAUAACAAAGCGAACUUAGGGAACUGAAACAUCUAAGUACCUAAAGGAAUAUAAAUCAAUUGAGAUUCUGAGAGUAGUGGCGAGCGAAAUUGGAUUAGCCGUGUAAGAAAUUGUUAUGAAAAUUUAUAGUAGAAUUAUUUGGAAAAAUAAACAAAAUUGUGUGAUAGUCACGUAUAUUAAAUUUAUUUUCACAUUUCUUACUAAUUAAUUAGAUCGAGACACGUGGUAUCUUGAUUUAAAAUAGGGGGACCAUCCUCUAAGGCUAAAUAUUACCUAUUGACCGAUAGUGAACUAGUACCGUGAGGGAAAGGUGAAAAGAACCCCUGUUAGGGGAGUGAAAUAGAUUCUGAAACUGUAUGCAUACAAGCAGUAGGAGCUAGAUUUAUCUAGUGACUGCGUACCUUUUGUAUAAUGGGUCAGCGAGUUAUUCAUUGUAGCGAGCUUAAGUGUUAACGUAGGCGUAGAGAAAUCGAGUCUUAAUAGGGCGUUUAGUUUCAAUGAAUAAACCCGAAACCGAGCGAUCUAUCCAUGACCAGGGUGAAGAUACAGUAACAUGUAUUGGAGGUCCGAACCCACUAAUGUUGAAAAAUUAGGGGAUGAGUUGUGGAUAGGAGUGAAAGGCUAAUCAAGCUCGGAGAUAGCUGGUUCUCCUCGAAAACUAUUUAGGUAGUGCCUAAUAUUUUUUCUCCUGGGGGUAGAGCACUGUUUCAAUUAGAGGGUCGUAAUUGGCUUAUCAAGUUGAUGCAAACUCCGAAUACCAGGAAGAAUAGUAUUGGAGACACACUGUGGGUGAUAAGGUCCAUGGUGGAAAGGGAAACAGCCCAGACCGUAAGCUAAGGUCCCAAAGUCGCAGUUAAGUGGGAAACAAAGUGUGAGAGCGUAGACAGCCAGGAGGUUGGCUUAGAAGCAGCAACCCUCUAAGGAAAGCGUAACAGCUCACUGGUCUAGUUUUCAUGCGUGGAAGAUCUAACGGGGCUAAAACUGCGCACCGAAGCUACGGAAUAUAUUUUAUAUAUUGGUAGAGGAGCGUUCUGUAGGCCGUAGAAGAUGUAUUGAGAGAUAUGUUGGAGGUAUCAGAAGUGCGAAUGCUGACAUGAGUAACGAUAAUAUAGGUGAAAAACCUAUACGCCGGAAGUCUAAGGUUUCCUGUUCUACGCUAAUCGGAGCAGGGUUAGUCGGUCCUAAGGUGAGGCUGAAAAGAGUAGUCGAUGGACAACAGGUUAAUAUUCCUGUACUUAGUAAUAUUUCGAUGGGGUGACGGAGAAAGCUAGGUUAGCUAUCAGUUGGUUUUGAUAGUUCAAUCAUGUAGAAUGUGUACUUUGGAAAAUCCGGGUACAUUUAUUUGAGGUGAGAGUACGAGUUAUCCUUUGGGAUAAUGAAGUAAUUUAUGCUAUGCUUCCAAGAAAAACCUCUAAGGUUAAGUAUUAUUAAUCCGUACCACAAACCGACACAGGUAGACAAGUAGAGAAUACUAAGGCGUUGAGAGAACUCGGGUGAAGGAACUCGGCAAAAUGGCACUGUAAUUUCGAGAGAAAGUGCGCCACUUUUAGUUAGUUUUCUAGCAAAAUGAAGCUUAAAGUGGUUGAAAAUACCAGGUGGCUGCGACUGUUUAAUAAAAACACAGCACUCUGCAAACUCGCAAGAGGACGUAUAGAGUGUGACGCCUGCCCGGUGCCGGAAGGUUAAUUGAUGUGGUUAACUUCUUUUUAUAGAAGUGAAGCUAUUGAUAGAAGCCCCGGUAAACGGCGGCCGUAACUAUAACGGUCCUAAGGUAGCGAAAUUCCUUGUCGGGUAAGUUCCGACCUGCACGAAUGGCGUAACGAUGGCCAUACUGUCUCCACCCGAGACUCAGUGAAAUUGAAUUUGCUGUGAAGAUGCAGUGUACCUGCGGCAAGACGGAAAGACCCCGUGCACCUUUACUAUAGCUUUACAUUGAAUUUUGAAUAAAUUUGUAUAGGAUAGGUGGGAGACUUUGAAGCAAAGACGCUAGUUUUUGUGGAGUCAAUGGUGAAAUACCACCCUAGUUUAUUUAAGGUUCUAACAUUUUCCGUAAUCCGGAAAACGGACAUUGUAUGGUAGGUAGUUUGACUGGGGCGGUCUCCUCCUAAAGAGUAACGGAGGAGCGCGAAGGUAUCCUCGACAUGGUCGGAAAUCAUGUUAUGAGUGCAAAAGCAUAAGGAUGCUUGACUGUGAGACACACAAGUCGAACAGGAACGAAAGUUGGUUUUAGUGAUCCGGUGGUUCUGCAUGGAAGGGCCAUCGCUCAACGGAUAAAAGGUACGCCGGGGAUAACAGGCUUAUACCCCCCAAGAGUUCAUAUCGACGGGGGUGUUUGGCACCUCGAUGUCGGCUCAUCACAUCCUGGGGUUGAAGAAGAUCCCAAGGGUAUGGCUGUUCGCCAUUUAAAGUGGUACGCGAGCUGGGUUUAGAACGUCGUGAGACAGUUCGGUCCCUAUCUGCCGUGGGCGUUGGAAAAUUGAGAGGACCUGCUCUUAGUACGACAGGACCAGAGUGGACGUACCAAUGGUGUUCCGGUUGUGAUGCCAAUUGCAUUGCCGGGUAGCUAAGUACGGAUAGGAUAACUGCUGAAAGCAUAUAAGCGGGAAGCCAACCUCAAGAUAAGUUUUCCCUAAGGAUUUAAUCCUUCUAAAGGUCUGUUGAAGAUUACGACUUUGAUAGGCAGGAUGUGUAAGCAUUGUGAGAUGUUGAGCAAACCUGUACUAAUUGACCGUGAGUUUUGACCA